GCUGUGGUGGACAGAGGCUCAAACUCCAGGUUCUUCCUCCUCCCUGCAGAUGGAGGACAUUGAGGACACGAGGACAGUAUGUCCCUCAUCUGCUCUUCCUGCUGUACUGAGUCGAGUCUGACAUGUC